rnacentral:rRNA from 1 species
UACGUAGGGUGCAAGCGUUGUCCGGAAUUAUUGGGCGUAAAGAGCUCGUAGGCGGUUUGUCGCGUCUGCUGUGAAAACGCGAGGCUCAACCUCGCGCCUGCAGUGGGUACGGGCAGACUGGAGUGCGGUAGGGGAGAUUGGAAUUCCUGGUGUAGCGGUGGAAUGCGCAGAUAUCAGGAGGAACACCGGUGGCGAAGGCGGGUCUCUGGGUAGUAACUGACGCUGAGGAACGAAAGCGUGGGUAGCGAACAGG